rnacentral:lncRNA from 1 species
CCCAAGUCCCAUUCCCACGAGGCAUCCCAGAAGGAGACCGUGGUCUAAGGUAUUGAAGGCCCCUGAGAGGUCCAAGAGAACCAAGAGGGACACCCUCCCCCCGUCUAGGUCCCUCUGCUCCUCCCCUCCUCCCCACACGAGGAGCGAAGAAGACUCACCGGGAUGUGGACCAAACCAGGCGACACAGCGACAGGCUGCAAAGGCAACGGGCAAGGAGCAAGAACCAAGAGAGAGAGAGACAGCGACUGCCUUCCUUCCUUCCUGCUGUGAAGAGGAAAGUGAGCUUCCAAAGGGAACGGCCUUCAGUGGGAGAUGCUGCAACGCAUCAGAAAGGUAUCCAUGGCGCCCCCUGCAGGCACGGAACAGCCAUCCAGGGAGGGAGGGAGGGAAGAAGGGAGGGAGGGAGGAAGGGAGAGGAGGAGGAAGAAAGGAAGGAACAAGGAAGUGAUCGGGAAUUGGAAAAUAUAGAUCUUGACAUCUAUAUAUUGUAUGUACAUAAUAAUAAUAAUAAUAAUAAUAACAACUUUAUUCUUAUAUCCCACCAUCAUCUCUCUCCCUGA